rnacentral:rRNA from 1 species
AUUGAACGCUGGCGGCAUGCUUUACACAUGCAAGUCGAACGGCAGCGCGGGCUUCGGCCUGGCGGCGAGUGGCGAACGGGUGAGUAAUGCAUCGGAACGUGCCCAGUAGUGGGGGAUAGCCCGGCGAAAGCCGGAUUAAUACCGCAUACGACCUGAGGGUGAAAGCGGGGGACCGAAAGGCCUCGCGCUAUUGGAGCGGCCGAUGUCGGAUUAGCUAGUUGGUGGGGUAAAGGCUUACCAAGGCGACGAUCCGUAGCUGGUCUGAGAGGACGACCAGCCACACUGGGACUGAGACACGGCCCAGACUCCUACGGGAGGCAGCAGUGGGGAAUUUUGGACAACGGGGGCAACCCUGAUCCAGCCAUGCCGCGUGCGGGAAGAAGGCCUUCGGGUUGUAAACCGCUUUUGUUCGGGAAGAAAUCCUCUGGGCUAAUACCUCGGGGGGAUGACGGUACCGGAAGAAUAAGCACCGGCUAACUACGUG